rnacentral:rRNA from 1 species
GAGUUUGAUCCUGGCUCAGAACGAACGCUGGCGGCAGGCCUAACACAUGCAAGUCGAGCGCUACCUUCGGGUGGAGCGGCGGACGGGUUAGUAACGCGUGGGAAUAUACCCAGUUCUAAGGAAUAGCCACUGGAAACGGUGAGUAAUACCUUAUACGCCCUUCGGGGGAAAGAUUUAUCGGAAUUGGAUUAGCCCGCGUUAGAUUAGAUAGUUGGUGGGGUAAUGGCCUACCAAGUCUACGAUCUAUAGCUGGUUUGAGAGGAUGAUCAGCAACACUGGGACUGAGACACGGCCCAGACUCCUACGGGAGGCAGCAGUGGGGAAUCUUAGACAAUGGGCGCAAGCCUGAUCUAGCCAUGCCGCGUGAGUGAUGAAGGCCUUAGGGUCGUAAAGCUCUUUCAACUGUGAAGAUAAUGACGGUAGCAGUAGAAGAAACCCCGGCUAACUCCGUGCCAGCAGCCGCGGUAAUACGGAGGGGGUUAGCGUUGUUCGGAAUUACUGGGCGUAAAGCGUACGUAGGCGGAUUAAUAAGUUAGAGGUGAAAUCCCAGGGCUCAACCCUGGAACUGCCUUUAAAACUGUUAGUCUUGAGAUCGAGAGAGGUGAGUGGAAUUCCAAGUGUAGAGGUGAAAUUCGUAGAUAUUUGGAGGAACACCAGUGGCGAAGGCGGCUCACUGGCUCGAUACUGACGCUGAGGUACGAAAGUGUGGGGAGCAAACAGGAUUAGAUACCCUGGUAGUCCACACCGUAAACGAUGAAUGCCAGACGUCAGCAAGCAUGCUUGUUGGUGUCACACCUAACGGAUUAAGCAUUCCGCCUGGGGAGUACGGUCGCAAGAUUAAAAACUCAAAGGAAUUGACGGGGGGCCGCACAAGCGGUGGAGCAUGUGGUUUAAUUCGACGCAACGCGCAGAACCUUACCAACCCUUGACAUACUUGUCGCGGAUUCCAGAGAUGGAUUCCUUCAGUUCGGCUGGACAAUGUACAGGUGCUGCAUGGCUGUCGUCAGCUCGUGUCGUGAGAUGUUCGGUUAAGUCCGGCAACGAGCGCAACCCACGUCCUUAGUUACCAGCAUUUAGUUGGGUACCCUAAGGAGACUGCCGGUGAUAAGCCGGAGGAAGGUGUGGACGACGUCAAGUCAUCAUGGCCCUUACGGGUUGGGCUACACACGUGCUACAAUGGCAUCUACAGUGAGUUAAUCUCCAAAAGAUGUCUCAGUUCGGAUUGGGGUCUGCAACUCGACCCCAUGAAGUUGGAAUCGCUAGUAAUCGCGGAACAGCAUGCCGCGGUGAAUACGUUCCCGGGCCUUGUACACACCGCCCGUCACACCAUGGGAAUUGGGUCUACCCGAAGGUGGUGCGCCAACUAUUUAUAGGGGCAGCCAACCACGGUAGGUUCAGUGACUGGGGUGAAGUCGUAACAAGGUAACC